rnacentral:rRNA from 1 species
UCGAGAAUCUUUCGCAAUGGGCGAAAGCCUGACGAAGCGACGCCGCGUGAGCGAAGAAGGCCUUCGGGUUGUAAAGCUCUUUCGCUUGGGAACAAGAGAGGAUAGCGAAUACCUAUCUAAUUUGAGGGUACCAGGUAAAGAAGCACCGGCUAACUCCGUGCCAGCAGCUGCGGUAAUACGGAGGGUGCAAGCGUUAAUCGGAUUUAUUGGGCGUAAAGAGCACGUAGGCGGAAAUGUAAGUCAGAUGUGAAAUCCCGGAGCUCAACUCCGGAACUGCAUUUGAAACUCCAUUUCUAGAGGGAUGACGGAGAAAACGGAAUUCCACAUGUAGCGGUGAAAUGCGUAGAUAUGUGGAAGAACACCGGUGGCGAAAGCGGUUUUCUAGUUUUCACCUGACGCU